CAAAAACAUGUCUUUUAAGAAUUAAUAAUUGAAAGUCGGGCCUGCCCUGUGAGUUUAUUAAAUGGCCGCGGUAUUUUGACCGUGCUAAGGUAGCAUAAUCAUUAGUUUCUUAAUUAGAAGCUGGAAUGAAAGGUUUGAUGAAAAAACUUCUGUCUCAGUUUUAAAAUUUUGAAUUUUAUUUUUAAGUAAAAAAGCUUAAAUUUAUGUAAAAGACGAGAAGACCCUAUAGAGUUUUAUAUUUUUAUUUUAGUAAUUUAGAUUAAGAAUUGUCUUUUUUUAUUUUAAAAAUAUUUGGUUGGGGUGAUUAAAAAAUUAAAUAAACUUUUUUUUUAAUUAAAUACUGAUAUGUAAAUAUUAUGAUCCUAAAAAUUGUUUAGAUUACAAGAAAAAAUUACCUUAGGGAUAACAGCGUUAUUUUUUUUAAGAGUUCUAAUCGAAAAAAAAGUUNGCGNCCNCG
rnacentral:rRNA from 1 species